GCCAAGAUGGCCGAGUGCUGGAGCCUUGGGUCCCAGGAGCGAAUAAGGAGGUUGUGGCUCAGGCAAAUCGUUCGGGUUAUUGGAUUCCUGCAAGUUGUUUGGGAACUGAUCAAGGUUUCAGGGUAAAGAUGCUGGUGAUUAACAGCCUGAGGGUCAUUCAUCCUGUGUCUCCAUGCAAAUUGCUGUGGAGAACCUUCCAGAUUCCAAGACCCAGGCCAUCCUGCAGCCUCUGUACUUGCACUUACAAAAUCCAGAAAUAAGCCUUGCAUCCACUCUGGGAGAGCGUGGACCUGGUUCCUGCGGGCGAUCCACAGUCACCCAUCAACAUCUGGUGGAGGGACAGUGUUUAUGAUCCUGGCUUAAAACCACUCAC